GAAAUAUUUUAUAUUAAGCUGCUAACUUAAUUUUUAGUGGUUAAUUUCCAUUAAUAUUUCU
rnacentral:tRNA from 1 species